rnacentral:rRNA from 1 species
CCUACGGGAGGCAGCAGUGAGGAAUAUUGGUCAAUGGGCUUACGCCUGAACCAGCCAAGUCGCGUGAGGGAAGACUGCCCUAUGGGUUGUAAACCUCUUUUGUCAGGGAGCAAUUGGCGCUACGUGUAGCGUUAUCGAGAGUACCUGAAGAAAAAGCAUCGGCUAACUCCGUGCCAGCAGCCGCGGUAAUACGGAGGAUGCGAGCGUUAUCCGGAUUUAUUGGGUUUAAAGGGUGCGUAGGCGGAAUGCCAAGUCAGCGGUAAAAUCGCGGGGCUCAACCUCGGAACUGCAUUUGAAACUGUUUUUCUUGAGUACCGGAGAGGUCAUCGGAAUUCCUUGUGUAGCGGUGAAAUGCGUAGAUAUAAGGAAGAACACCAGUGGCGAAGGCGGAUGACUGGACGGCAACUGACGGUGAGGCGCGAAAGCGUGGGGAGCAAACAGGAUUAGAUACCCCGGUAGUC